rnacentral:rRNA from 1 species
CCCUUAGAUGUUCUGGGCCGCACGCGCGCUACACUGAUGCAUUCAACGAGCCUAUCCUUGACCGACAGGUCCGGGUAAUCUUUGAAUCUGCAUCGUGACGGGGAUAGAUUAUUGCAAUUAUUAAUCUUCAACGAGGAAUGCCUAGUAGGCGCAAGUCAUCAGCUUGCGUCGAUUACGUCCCUGCCCUUUGUACACACCGCCCGUCGCUCCUACCGAUUGGGUGUGCUGGUGAAAUGUUCGGAUCGGCCGUUUGUCGCGGUUUGCGCGGCUCGUGGCUGAGAAGUUCAUUAAACCCUCCCACCUAGAGGAAGGAGAAGUCGUAACA